rnacentral:rRNA from 1 species
UCUACGGGGGGCAGCAGUGGGGAAUAUUGGACAAUGGGGGCAACCCUGAUCCAGCCAUGCCGCGUGUGUGAAGAAGGCCCUCGGGUUGUAAAGCACUUUCAGUGAGGAAGAACGCCUGGUGGUUAAUACCCAUCAGGAAAGACAUCACUCACAGAAGAAGCACCGGCUAACUCCGUGCCAGCAGCCGCGGUAAUACGGAGGGUGCGAGCGUUAAUCGGAAUUACUGGGCGUAAAGCGCGCGUAGGUGGCUUGAUAAGCCGGUUGUGAAAGCCCCGGGCUCAACCUGGGAACGGCAUCCGGAACUGUCAAGCUAGAGUGCAGGAGAGGAAGGUAGAAUUCCCGGUGUAGCGGUGAAAUGCGUAGAGAUCGGGAGGAAUACCAGUGGCGAAGGCGGCCUUCUGGACUGACACUGACACUGAGGUGCGAAAGCGUGGGUAGCAAACAGGAUUAGAUACCCUGGUAGUC